rnacentral:rRNA from 1 species
UAAUACGUAGGGUGCGAGCGUUAAUCGGAAUUACUGGGCGUAAAGCGUGCGCAGGCGGCUUACUAAGACAGGUGUGAAAUCCCCGGGCUUAACCUGGGAAUGGCGCUUGUGACUGGUAGGCUAGAGUACGUCAGAGGGGGGUGGAAUUCCACGUGUAGCAGUGAAAUGCGUAGAGAUGUGGAGGAACACCGAUGGCGAAGGCAGCCCCCUGGGAUGAUACUGACGCUCAGGCACGAAAGCGUGGGGAGCAAACAGGAUUAGAUACCCUGGUAGUCCACGCCCUAAACGAUGUCGACUAGUUGUUGGGGAACUUGAUUCUUCAGUAACGCAGCUAACGCGUGAAGUCGACCGCCUGGGGAGUACGGUCGCAAGAUUA